rnacentral:rRNA from 1 species
UACGAGAGGUCCAAACGUUAUUCGGAAUUACUGGGCUUACAGAGUUCGUAGGCGGCUCUACAAGUGAGGUGUGAAAGCCCUCGGCUCAACCGAGGAACUGCGCUUCAAACUGUAGAACUAGAGGGAGAUAGAGGUGAGCAGAACUGAUGGUGGAGCGGUGAAAUGCGUUGAUAUCAUCAGGAAUACCGGAGGCGAAGGCGGCUCACUGGGUCGCUUCUGACGCUGAGGAACGAAAGCUAGGGGAGCAAACGGG